UUAAGUUCAGCGGGUAGUCCUACCUGAUUUGAGGUCAAACGUUCAAAAGUUGUCCACAGGGGACAGUUAGAAGCUGAACAGACAGAGAGCAGCCUUCGUCUAUGGCGUAGAUAAUUAUCACACCGGCGACGGACCGCAAACGGUUCCGCUAAUGCAUUUCAGGGGAGCCGACCUCAAAAGAGAGGCCCACAGAAACCCCC
rnacentral:misc_RNA from 1 species